rnacentral:tRNA from 1 species
UCCUUUUUAGUAUAUUGAGAGUAGUAUAUUUAACUUCGGAUUAAGUGGAUCCUGUGGAGGGGAAAAGGAA